GGCAAACAUUACAGGCAACGUGAUUUACUUUAACCGUUCUUUUGUCGACGGCGGUGGACGAUGGGUGCAACUGCCGUAUCAAGGAGACGUCCGAGACAAUGCGACGGAUACCAUGCUUGUAGGACUUCAGGGAUCCGAGGUGACCACGAUUGAGAAAUUGCUUUUCGCAACGCAAAACAACAGCUGUGGUGUUUUUCAAGUGA
rnacentral:lncRNA from 1 species